rnacentral:rRNA from 1 species
GACGAACGCUGGCGGCGUGCUUAACACAUGCAAGUCGAGCGGUAAGGCCCUUUCGGGGGUACACGAGCGGCGAACGGGUGAGUAACACGUGGGUGACCUGCCCUCAGCUCUGGGAUAAGCCUGGGAAACCGGGUCUAAUACCGGAUAUGACUCCAUGACGCAUGUUGUGGGGUGGAAAGCCUUGUGCGGCUGAGGAUGGGCCCGCGGCCUAUCAGCUUGUUGGUGGGGUGAUGGCCUACCAAGGCGACGACGGGUAGCCGGCCUGAGAGGGCGACCGGCCACACCGGGGACUGAGACAAGGCCCAGACUUCCAUGGAGGGCAGCAGUGAGGAAUAUUGGACAAUGGGUGUAAACUUGAUCCAGCAAUACCUAUUGAGUGAAGAAGGGAAUUCUAGU